rnacentral:lncRNA from 1 species
UUAAAUAAAAAUUGAAUCUAUUGUAUUUUGAAUUAUAAAUUGAAGAUUGAAAAGUCAAUAAUGGAAGAUAUUUGUGAUGUAUAGAUAUGAUUAGAAGAAUUAUAAUAUAUUAAUUUUUGAGAGUUGAAGGUGCUAUAAGAAGAAGUCUGUGGAGUCUGGAAUUGUAUAAAGUAGAUUAUUGGAAAUGACAAUUAAUUUUGGAGAAUUCCAGUGAUUAGAUUAUGAAAUAUUUUAUGCAAUCUUUUUUGAUAGUGCAAUAUUACCUAUUUUUGUCAUAAGUUAGGAGAGAAGAAGAGACAGUGAAUGCAUAAGAUAGAAUUUUUGAUUGUAAUAUUUUAUUUGAUAGAAUGUGGAAGGCAUUGUAGCUUUCUUGGUUGUUUUAAUUGAUCAAGAGACAGUUAAUUGUAUGACCCUAACAUGAAAAUUCAUAAAAAUAGUCUUUUCUUGUGUUCAAAUCCUUCUAUAUAGGUUUAUUUCAAUUCAAUUAGUCUAGAGUAAGUAAAAUGGUAAUCACACAUGCCAUAAUAAUUCAUGUGGAAGAUACUUCUUAGAUAGAUCAACAAUUCAAAAGACAAUGAGAGCAUGAUAUUAUUUAUCUACUAUGUUCUAAGAUAUAUA